rnacentral:rRNA from 1 species
CAGUAGCCACGGUAAUACGAAGGGGGCUAGCGUUGUUCGGAUUUACUGGGCGUAAAGGGCGCGUAGGCGGACUGAUAAGUCAGGGGUGAAAUCCCAAGGCUCAACCUUGGAACUGCCUUUGAUACUGUUUGUCUUGAGUUCGAGAGAGGUAAGUGGAACUGCGAGUGUAGAGGUGAAAUUCGUAGAUAUUCGCAAGAACACCAGUGGCGAAGGCGGCUUACUGGCUCGAAACUGACGCUGAGGCGCGAGAGCGUGGGGAGCAAACAGGAUUAGAUACCCGAGUAGUCCCUGUCUCUUAUAA